rnacentral:rRNA from 1 species
CUGGGGCGGCUACACAUGCAGUCGAGCGGCAGCGGGGAGUAGCUUGCUACUUUGCCGGCGAGCGGCGGACGGGUGAGUAAUGCUUGGGAACUUGCCUUUAGGAGGGGGAUAACCACGGGAAACUGUGGCUAAUACCGCAUAAUGUCUACGGACCAAAGCGGGGGCUCUUCGGACCUCGCACCUAAAGAUAGGCCCAAGUGAGAUUAGCUAGUUGGUGGGGUAAAGGCCCACCAAGGCGACGAUCUCUAGCUGUUCUGAGAGGAUGAUCAGCCACACUGGGACUGAGACACGGCCCAGACUCCUACGGGAGGCAGCAGUGGGGAAUAUUGCACAAUGGGGGAAACCCUGAUGCAGCCAUGCCGCGUGUGUGAAGAAGGCCUUCGGGUUGUAAAGCACUUUCAGUGGUGAGGAAGGCUUGUAGGUUAAUAGCCUGCAAGAUUGACGUUAGCCACAGAAGAAGCACCGGCUAACUCCGUGCCAGCAGCCGCGGUAAU